CCUGAGAAACCCAAAAGAUCGAAUGGGGAGAUUCAUCGUCAGCACAUAUUGUAUAUAUGCAAAUUAUGAUGUGAGUUACUACUUGUAGUAUUGCUUAUACAUUCUUGUAUAUUUAGUUGCAAAAUGUUGUCGGCGUGCACUUCUCCCCUAGUAGGACGUCGCGACCCGUUGAGUGUCGGUUUAUGGCCCAAGUUGGGAGCCUUUAAUAUUUUUUAUUAAAUAUUGAAGACCCUUGGUGUUUCCUAACCGGCUACUCGGCGGUAUUCGUACGGUAUUAAGCCGCAUAAUUUUAUAAUAUGCGUUCAUAUCCAUCGCAAGCGAGGCUAAAUUCUGAUAGUGCGGACCUAGUGCCGUCGUUGGAUUUGGCCAGCUGUUGGUUGUAUGGUAUUCUAGAACUGGCUUAAAUAAUUUUACCGGUCAGCGAUGCUACUGCUUUGGGUACUUUCAGGACCCGUCUUGAAACACGGACCAAGGAGUCUAACAUGUGCGCAAGUCAUUGGGAUUUUUAAAAAAUUAAACCUAAAGGCGUAAUGAAAGUAAAGGUUUUCCYUGCGUUAACCAAGGGAAGAUGAUCUGUGUUAAGAUACAGUUCCGCAUUCCCGGGGCGUCUCRUUCUCWUU
rnacentral:rRNA from 2 species